AUUGAACGCUGGCGGCAGGCCUAACACAUGCAAGUCGAGCGAGCGGCGGACGGGUGAGUAAUGUCUGGGAAACUGCCUGAUGGAGGGGGAUAACUACUGGAAACGGUAGCUAAUACCGCAUACCAUCAGAUGUGCCCAGUUGGGAUUAGCUAGUAGGUGGGGUAACGGCUCACAUAGGCGACGAUCCCUAGCUGGUCUGCGAGGGGGACCAGCCACACUGGAACGGAGACACGGUCCAUACUCCUACGGGAGGCAGCAGUGGGGAAUAUUGCACAAUGGGCGCAAGCCUGAUGCGGCCAUGCGGCGUGUGUGAAGAAGGCCUUAGGGUUGUAAAGCACGUUCAGCGGGGAGGCGUUACCCACAGAGGAAGCACCGGCUAACUCCGUGCCAGCAGCCGCGGUAAUAC
rnacentral:rRNA from 1 species